rnacentral:rRNA from 1 species
AACGAACGUUGGCGGCGCGCCUAACACAUGCAAGUCGAGCGCGAAAAGUCUUCGGACUGAGUAGAGCGGCGCACGGGUGAGUAACACGUGAGUAACCUACCCUUGGAUCUGGAAUAACACCUCGAAAGAGAUGCUAAUGCCGGAUAAGACCACAGAGCCUUUGGGCUCAGUGAGAAAAGCUGGGGACGAGAAAUCGCCUGGCAUCUGAGGAUGGGCUCGCGGCCUAUCAGCUAGUUGGCGGGGUAACGGCCCACCAAGGCUAAGACGGGUAGCUGGUCUGAGAGGAUGAUCAGUCACACUGGAACUGAGACACGGUCCAG